AUUGAACGCUGGCGGCAUGCCUAACACAUGCAAGUCGAACGGCAGCAUGACAAGAGCUUGCUCUUGUUGAUGGCGAGUGGCGGACGGGUGAGUAAUAUGUAGGAAUCUACCUAGAGGUGCGGGAUAACUUAGGGAAACUUAAGCUAAUACCACAUAAGCCCUACGGGGGAAAGCAGGGGAGCUUCGGACCUUGCGCCUUAUGAUGAGCCUAAAUUGGAUUUGCUUGUUGGUGGGGUAAAGGCCUACCAAGGCGACGAUCCAUAGCUGGUCUGAGAGGAUGAUCAGCCACACUGGGACUGAGACACGGCCCAGACUCCUACGGGAGGCAGCAGUGGGGAAUAUUGGACAAUGGGGGCAACCCUGAUCCAGCAAUGCCGCGUGUGUGAAGAAGGCCUUAGGGUUGUAAAGCACUUUCAGUGGGGAGAAAGUUUGAGGUGAUAAUACCACCAUCAAAUUGAUGUUACCCACAGAAGAAGCACCGGCUAACUCUGUGCCAGCCGCCGCCGUAA
rnacentral:rRNA from 1 species